GAGUUUGAUCCUGGCUCAGGAUGAACGCUAGCGAUAGGCCUAACACAUGCAAGUCGAGGGGCAGCAUGGUCUUCGGACCGAUGGCGACCGGCGCACGGGUGAGUAACACGUAUGCAACCUACCCAUAACACUGGGAUAGCCCGUUGAAAGACGGAUUAAUACUGGAUAAUACAGGGGCACCACAUGGUGAUAUUUGUUAAAGAUUUAUUGGUUAUGGAUGGGCAUGCGUUGGAUUAGGUAGUUGGAAGGGUAACGGCCUCCCAAGCCUACGAUCCAUAGGGGAACUGAGAGGUUUAUCCCCCACACUGGUACUGAGACACGGACCAGACUCCUACGGGAGGCAGCAGUGAGGAAUAUUGGUCAAUGGACGAGAGUCUGAACCAGCCAAGUCGCGUGAAGGAUGAAGGUAUUAUGUAUUGUAAACUUCUUUUAUGUGGGAAUAAAGAUGGGAAUGUAUUCUCAGUUGCAUGUACCACAUGAAUAAGCAUCGGCUAACUCCGUGCCAGCAGCCGCGGUAAUACGGAGGAUGCGAGCGUUAUCCGGAUUUAUUGGGUUUAAAGGGUGCGUGGGUGGGCUUAUAAGUCAGCGGUGAAAUCCCGGAGCUUAACUCCGGGCCUGCCGUUGAAACUGUGAGUCUUGAGUGUGAACGAGGUAGGCGGAAUUCGUAGUGUAGCGGUGAAAUGCAUAGAUAUUACGAAGAACACCGAUAGCGCAGGCAGCUUACCAGGCCACAACUGACACUGAAGCACGAAAGUGUGGGUAUCAAACAGGAUUAGAUACCCUGGUAGUCCACACAGUAAACGAUGAAUACUAGGUGUUUGCGAUAUACCGUAAGCGCCCGAGCGAAAGCGUUAAGUAUUCCACCUGGGGAGUACGCCGGCAACGGUGAAACUCAAAGGAAUUGACGGGGGCCCGCACAAGCGGAGGAACAUGUGGUUUAAUUCGAUGAUACGCGAGGAACCUUACCCGGGCUCGAACGACAGUAGAAUAUGGUGGAAACAUCAUAGCUAGCAAUAGCUGCU
rnacentral:rRNA from 1 species